rnacentral:rRNA from 1 species
GAGUUUGAUCCUGGCUCAGAACGAACGCUGGCGGCGUGCCUAACACAUGCAAGUCGAACGGAAUGAAGGGGCUUGCUCUUUCAUUCAGUGGCGCACGGGUGAGUAACGCGUAGAUAAUCUGCCUGAUGAUCUGGGAUAACAUUUCGAAAGGGGUGCUAAUACCGGAUAAGCCCACGGGAACUUUGGUUCUUGCGGGAAAAGGGGGGGGACCUUCGGGCCUUCUGUCAUCAGAUGAGUCUGCGUACCAUUAGCUAGUUGGUGGGGUAAUGGCCCACCAAGGCUACGAUGGUUAGCUGGUCUGAGAGGAUGAUCAGCCACACUGGAACUGAGACACGGUCCAGACUCCUACGGGAGGCAGCAGUGGGGAAUUUUGCGCAAUGGGCGAAGGCCUGACGCAGCAACGCCGCGUGAGUGAUGAAGGCUUUCGGGUCGUAAACCUCUGUCAGAGGGGACGAAGAAUGUGACGGUACCCUCAGAGGAAGCACCGGCUAACUCCGUGCCAGCAGCCGCGGUAAUAC